GUUUUAUUGUGUUCCUCGUAUGACGAAACGCUUAUAAAGAUCAGAAUUCCUAUAUGGAAACACUCUGUGGUACACCAAGUUACCUCGCUACCAAAAUGUUAAUCCCGUAGCCUGAAGAACGAUCCUACAAGAAAUCGUGUGUUAUAUGUUUGCAGGCAAAUAACC